CCUACGGGUGGCAGCAGUAGGGAAUCUUCCACAAUGGGCGCAAGCCUGAUGGAGCAACGCCGCGUGGAUGAAGACGGUCUUCGGGUCGUAAAACCCUGUUGAUAGAGAAGAAAGUGCGUGAGAGUAACUGUUCACGUUUCGACGGUAUCUAACCAGAAAGCCACGGCUAACUACGUGCCAGCAGCAGCGGUAAUACGUAGGUGGCAAGCGUUGUCCGGAUUUAUUGGGCGUAAAGGGAACGCAGUUGGUCUUUUAAGUCUGAUGUGAAAGCCUGCGGCUUAACCGGAGUAGUGCAUGGGAAACUGGGAGACUUGAGUGCAGAAGAGGGGAGUGGAACUCGAUGUGUAGCGGUGAAAUGCGUAGAUAUAUGGAAGAACACCAGUGGCGAAGGCGGCUCUCUGGUCUGUAACUGACGCUGAGGUUCGAAAGCGUGGGUAGCAAACAGGAUUAGAUACCCCGGUAGUC
rnacentral:rRNA from 1 species